GCGAGUGUUCGUCACUUUUGUCUUUCUCUGCGGGAUUAAAAGUGACACACAUCUUUUUGUUUCGUGCUGACAUCAUGAACUUGUUUUUAUUCUUUCUUCUGGUCGUGCAAAUGCACAGCGUGACGCCUGUGAUUCACACGCUGCAGUAUUUCACCACUGCAUCCUCUCAAGUUCCAAACUUCCCAGAGGUUGUGAUUGUUGGUUAUGUUGAUGGAGUUGAGAUUAGUUACUAUGACAGCAACAUCAGGAAAACAGAAUCCAAACAGGACUGGAUGAACAAAAUCACAGCAGAGGAUCCAAAAUACUGGCAGAGACAAACAGAGAUCAAUGUUGGUAUUGAGUUGAUUGACAAACACAACCUUGAAGUUCUUAAGAAGCGUUUCAACCAAACUGGAGGUGUUCACAUUGUCCAGUGGAUGUCAGGAUGUGAAUGGAAUGAUGAGACUGAUGAGGUUAAAGGUUGGCGUCAGCAAGGUUAUGAUGGAGAAGAUUUCAUAUCGUUGGACAUGAAGACAUGGACAUAUACUGCAGCAAAACCACAAGCUUUCCCUGACAAACUCUACUGGGACCAGAACAUAUUUAUACUAGACGACCAUAAGUAUUAUUUCACUGAGCGUUGUCCUUCUUACUUGAAGAAGUAUGUGAAGAAUGGGAAGAAGGUCCUAAUGAGAACAGAGCUUCCAGAGGUGUUCCUCCUCCAGAAGACGCCAUCCUCUCCAGUCACCUGCAUGGCGACAGGUUUCUACCCCGACUUAGCCGACCUGUUUUGGAGGAAAGACGGCGAGCAGAUCUUCGAGGACGUGGAGCACGGAGAGCUGCUCCCCAACCCCGACGGAACCUUCCAGAUGUCGGUGGAGCUGAAAGUGGAGGUGACGGCCGAGGUGGAGGGCAAGUACGAAUGUGUGUUCCAGCUGUCUGGCGUCAAGGAGGACCUAGUCACCAAGCUGGAGAGAAGAAGCAUCCUGAGCAACGCAAGCCAUGAAGGUGAGAAAGACACAUUUAGUUGGAGAUGUUUCCCAUCACAAGUCCACCUGUCACCAUUAUUGAUCCAUGUCACCAUGACAACGCUUGACGUCUGCAUGCAAAGUAGUCAUGAAGGUUUCCUCUUCAUGCUUUGUCACUCCACUUGUGCUUUUUUGCUCUCCACAGACAACUGGAGCGUCGCCCUCGCUGCCACGGCGGCGGUCGUCGCUGUGGCGGCCGUCCUGGCGGCCAUCAUCAUCGUCAUGGUCAGGCGUCACAGAAACAGACAAGGUGAGGGACACCAAUGUCCUCCGUCUUCUUCUUCUUCUUCUUCUUCUUCUUCUUCUUCUCGGUCCAGGCCGUGAGUUGAUGCUUUCAUCCGGGCUGCAUGUUUUAGUUGCCUUCCAGCCAAACACUCAAAGAUCCACAGAGACAGAGCGCACACUCUCACAUAGAAAGACGUGAGGAAAAAGUCCAUUUCACCUUGUUUCACUUUCAUUUCAGCCCAGUACGAUCCAGCUCGUAAGUAAAACAUCUUUUCUUUGAGCCGCAAGAAACAAAGCCGUGGUGAAGCGUCACUCACAUGGAGGUCUGAUGUGGACCUUUGUUACAAGUUUAGCCUGAAAAUCCCAACUUGAGCUGACUCCUUCACAAUAAAAGACCCUCCUGUGAGCACACGCAAUACAAAGUGUGGCAUAUCUCACGUUUGACAUGAGUCCUCAUGAUGAGGAUCAGCCAAAUGAGACCUCAAGUGUGCUGACUCAUCAAGAAGGUAUCCUAGUCAGGAAGUAGAAGAGCAGCACUCUGCUUCUUCAUGUUUCCAAGUCACACCUCAAAGAUCUGAUGUGAGUGACGAGGCACCUUCUGGAUGUUCUUCCUUCACCGUUUGCGUUUGUCCCGCAGCUCGCCACGGCGGCGUGGAGCUCUCCGAGAAGGUGGCGGCUGAAGGCUGAGAUGCUUUGUGCACUGGAACACAGAGAGAUGUCUCCAUCGCUGAGGGACGUCAUGGAGAUGUGCUUUGUUCUUCAUCCCACUGCUCCUCACGCUAUUCCAUCUAUUCUUCUUUGGCCGUUAAAAUACUUUCAACAUCAAACGUUGGUGGCUAGAAAAUCAUUCGGGGCUCACGUUUCAUGGCCUUGACAUCAUGACGAGGAUUUCUUCUUUCUUUGAAUGGCCGCUGCUUAUGAUCAAUAUCACAUUGUGUCACAUCUCUGUCAAUAAAUCCGUUUGUUCUCCA